AGAGUUUGAUCCUGGCUCAGGACUAACGCUGGCGGCGUGCCUAACACAUGCAAGUCGAACGGGCUGUAGCAAUACAGUUAGUGGCAGACGGGUGAGUAACACGUAGAUAACGUACCCCUCCGCUGGGGAUAGCCACUGGAAACGGUGGGUAAAACCGAAUACUCUGUCCUGAGGGCAUCCUCGGGAUAGGAAAACUCCGG
rnacentral:rRNA from 1 species